UGGGGAAUUUUGGACAAUGGGGGCAACCCUGAUCCAGCAAUGCCGCGUGUGUGAAGAAGGCCUUCGGGUUGUAAAGCACUUUUGUCCGGAAAGAAAACGCCGUGGUUAAUACCCGUGGCGGAUGACGGUACCGGAAGAAUAAGCACCGGCUAACUACGUGCCAGCAGCCGCGGUAAUACGUAGGGUGCAAGCGUUAAUCGGAAUUACUGGGCGUAAAGCGUGCGCAGGCGGUCCGCUAAGACAGAUGUGAAAUCCCCGGGCUUAACCUGGGAACUGCAUUUGUGACUGGCGGGCUAGAGUAUGGCAGAGGGGGGUAGAAUUCCACGUGUAGCAGUGAAAUGCGUAGAGAUGUGGAGGAAUACCGAUGGCGAAGGCAGCCCCCUGGGCCAAUACUGACGCUCAUGCACGAAAGCGUGGGGAGCAAACAGGAUUAGAUACCCUGGUAGUCCACGCCCUAAACGAUGUNAACUAGUUGUCGGUCUUCAUUGACUUGGUAACGAGCUAACGCGUGAAGUUGACCGCCUGGGGAGUAC
rnacentral:rRNA from 1 species